CGCCUGCAUAUUCCUACGACUUCUCAGAGUCCUGUGGACCGUGACUGAGGAGACAAACCUGCAGGAAACAGUCUUAAAUCGCAAUCUGGGGGUGGGUCUGCAUACUUUAAGCGUUUAAUUUACUGACGGAGUGUCUUCUAUUGCAGAAUUGAUGAGUGAUCCCAAAGAACUCAUUGAGGAAAGAAGAGGAUCUAUCUGUACAGGUGCCUGUUGAUUUACUUGAUAAAAGGCUUUGAGGCCUUUUAAUUAUAUGCAGCUUGGUGAAAUCUUGUCCAUAUUAUGGCCUCAUCCCUUGGAAGCUGGACAAGCUUUUGUGCCUACUCAAUUCUGUCUGGCAAUUGCAUUUUCCAUACAGGUUGUGUCUAGAUUUGUGAAAAUGAAGCAUGGUUCUCCUUUUUGAGGUCCAGGAGGUUUCCCCAGGACCAUGUUAUAUAAACUUUAUACUUUUUGUUCCCAUGUUCUCUGUAAGAUUGUAGCCAUGAGUUCAGAUCCAGAAUGGGUUAUGCGAUCCAGUUGUAAUCUAUGAGUCUUUGUGAUAUGCCUGACAAGUUUGAAUUAAAGCUUUUUGAAUGCCAAAAAAAAAAAA
rnacentral:lncRNA from 1 species